rnacentral:rRNA from 1 species
UACGAAGGGGGCUAGCGUUGUUCGGAAUUACUGGGCGUAAAGCGUAUGCAGGCGGAUCGUUAAGUCGGGGGUGAAAUCCCGAGGCUCAACCUCGGAACUGCCUUCGAUACUGGCGAUCUUGAGUCCGGGAGAGGUGAGUGGAACUGCGAGUGUAGAGGUGAAAUUCGUAGAUAUUCGCAAGAACACCAGUGGCGAAGGCGGCUCACUGGCCCGAUACUGACGCUGAGGCACGAAAGCGUGGGGAGCAAACAGG